AGGGUAACAGACCCUUAAAGGUUGUGUGGUCGGUCCUGACACAGAUGCAGGAAAUUAGAAGCAUGCAUCGUAAAUGCAGACGCUGACUUCGAUACUGUUUUCUAGACAUACCACAGAGAAGCUAAAGGUGUGAAUCGAGAUAACUGCAAAACUUAAAAUAUAUAAAUGUCAUCUUUAAAGGCUGCCCACUAUCUGUUCCUUGUAGUCUUCAGCAUCACACUGUGUAUAUGUAAAGGUGCAGAGUUUGUUAUCAGAGCAGUCAAAGGAGAAACUGUCCAUCUGCCCUGUCUCCCACACCCUUAUAACAGUUACCUAAGUUCUGUAGAGUGGACAAAAAAUAGUAAAACAGCAAACGUUAUUUGUAAACAUACGGUAUAUGAAAAUAAAGCUUCAUCUGGAUAUUGCAUUUCCCGUUUUAGAGUUGCGGCUUUUAACCUGAAUAUUGAAAAUGUUCAGUUCAGUGACUUUGGUAGUUACACUUGUAAAUGGUCAAGAAUAAUUCCACCACCAACCCUCGACGUCAUCACAAAUGUGAUGCUCCUAGUUGAAGAUCUCUCUGUGGAGCAUCAAUACAGCCGUAAUGACAGCUGUAUUCAUCUGCUCUGCACUUUAGAAGCUCUGAACCCUGAGCAGGUGAACUUCAUCUGGAGCACAGUGGGUCAAAGGUUACCACACCUGUCCUCUUCUUCAGUCAUGAGCAGCGAGUUCUAUCUGUGUGAACCAGCCGUGGAUGAUGGAGACCCAAUUACCUGUCAGGCCAGCUACUUCUACAACAAUGCAUUGUACGGCAUAAACAGAACAGUUGAAGCUUUCACUUAUGAGUUUGUUUUCACGCCAAAAUUUUCUGUUGGUCGUGUGAUCGUUUAUAGCGUCUUCAUACUCAUCAUUGGCUUCAUCUGGACCAUAUUCCUCAUACGUAGGUAUAAGUCCUGGUUAGGCUCAACUUAACCAUCAACAUCAGAGAGCAGUGUAACACGGGAGUAAAAUACUCUCUCAUACUUUUUGGUUCGAAUGUUGUACUUUAAUUUUUAUUACAGAAUACAUCAUUUUUGCUACUUUUCUUGUAUUGCCAAGAUGUAUUAUAACAUCUAUAUUCUGUAAUGCUGUUCAGAGGUCUUCGUUGUACAUUUUAAUAAAUCAGAAUCUAACUUAAACCUGAAAAUAAGCAUCUAACAAGUAAUUCGAUUAAAAUAGUUAUGUUCGUAAUGUAAUGUGUAAUACAAAAACGAUUAUUAGAAAGAUGUAAAUGAAAGUAUUGUUUAAAGCUACUAUCUCAAAUCCAAAUGUUUUUACAAAGCUUUGUGCUGUCCGAUUGUAUGAAACCAGUUUUUAUUGCAUGAAUGCUAUUAAAUAAGUCAUAUGACUUGUGUGUGGUUUAAUAAAUGAAUGUCCUGCCCCACACAGACUAUGAGUGCUAGUUUAGUAUGUCAAGCAUUUAAGGUGGAUUGUGAAAUAUUGUGGUCUCCCAUUCCAGUAUGUUAUGGCUUCUUGUGUAUGCCUUUAUUUGGAAAGCAGAACUUCAAAAAUGAUACGUCAAAAACAUACAAAAAACUCCCUGUUUCAUUUCUUUGGCAUGUUUUUAAAAUGCAUUUUUAAACCGAUUGUCCUUAUUCUUUAAAUGAGUAAUUUUUUUGCCCAGGGCAAAAGUCAUUACACCAACAAGAUUAAAUAUGAGAAGUUCUGUAUGUGAGAAACUCACCAAGUACCACAGGUAUAAGGUUGUACGUGGUAACAAAUAACGGAAAAAUAAACCACUUAUGUAUCAAAGUUUACUGGUUUGCUCAGUGGCAGGAUUGUUUUUGUCUUUUAUUGUGAUUGAGGUUGUGGGCGGGUGUAUGGACAGGAAGUUGUCACUCAGUGUGUGCGGUGUGUGUGUUGCGAUGUGUCUCACUCGUUGAGCUCGGCUCAAAGAGGACAUUCAGUCGACAUGUUUUUAAAACCGCUUAAAAAUUAUCUUUUAGCUUUGGCUUUAAUUUAUUUCCCAGUUACAGGUGCACAGAUUGUUUUAUUUAAAGGAGAAACCGGUCAUCUGCCCUGCAUCUUACACCCUGAAAACAGUAGCAAACGUUCUGUAGAAUGGAUAAAAAGCAGUACAAACAGCACAACAAUUUGUAAAUGUCAAAUUGAUUAUGUUCAUAAAACUUCAUCGGGAUGUUGCAUUCCCCGCUUUACAUUAACCAAAGAGUCUUUGCAACUGAAUAUAGAAAAUGUUCAGCCCAGUGACUUUGGUAAUUACACUUGUAAAUGGUCAAGAAUAAUUCCACCACCAACACUUGAUGGCAUCAGAAAUGUAAUGCUCCGAGUUGAAGGCAAUAACAGGACAAAAACACUGGUUAACAAAAACGGGUUUUCCUUUGAACGUUAAUGUGGAAAUGUGGUUAAUGUCGUAUCUUCAAAGCUUUCAAAAGAUCUCUCACUGCAGCGUCUAAACAGCCGUAAUGACAGCUGUAUUCAUCUGCUCUGCACUUUAGAAGCUCUGAACCCUGAGCAGGUGAACUUCACCUGGAGCACAGAGGGUCAAAGGUUACCCAACAUGUCCUCUUCUUCAUACACCAGCAGCGAGCUCUAUCUGUGUGAACCAGACUGGGAUAAUGCAGACACGAUUACCUGUCAGGCCAGCUACUUCUACAACAAUACACUGUACAGAAGGAUCGAACAUUUCAACCUGAGCACAGAAGAUGCUGUCAGAGAGAAUCUACAGCUGCUGAUAAUCAUAUGUAGUGCUGCUGCUGCUGCUGGUGUCAUCUUCAGUCUGAUCUUUACUGCUGUCCUUUGCAAAUGCAGAAGGAGACGGAAUGCAAAUGAAUCUAUAGUAUUCAGCAAUAAAGUGUAUGAGAACUUCAGUUUUGCCAUGACCCGCCAGUCAACACAGAGAACACAGCCUACUGUUAAACCACAGAAAGAAGAAUGUAUUUAUGAGAACUGAUCUCCAUACAUAAGCAUUGUCUUAAUGCCAGUCUGAGCUUAAACUUGUUUAGGACAAUGCAGUGUGUGAUAAAGCAGUGGUUCUCAAACUGGGACCCGCCCGGGGGCCCCAAGAUGGAUCCAGGGGGGGCCAUUUUGUGGGAUUUUAGGAAAUAUAGAAAUUUGUUGUCAUAGAUUUUAUGCAAUCAAGCAUCAGAAAAAUAAGACCACCAACUAAAAGAAUUGAUGUUCCAGCAUUAUAUAACUGAAUAUGUUUUUGGUUUCAUUAAAAUUCUAAGUUUAAGAUUAUUUAGUCUUUAUUUGGGGGCCACAAUAUUUGGGGGCGGCAAAGCAAUGCGCUCUACACAAGGUGGGCCUUGCAACAAAAAUGUUUGAGAACCACUGUGCUACAGAGUGCAAUUCUCCAUUUUGCUAUCAUAGCCUGUACCUGUAGGUGAGACCGGGGCUAGUUGUCACACUUUUAUUUCAGUGAAUAUUGCACAAGGAGCCUACGUUUGUUUUAGAAAUUCCUUUUCUGAACUUUUCCCUCCAGACUUUAUAGUUGCUUGUGUCAACUUCCCUAUGUGUGAAAAACCCAGUCAUUCCUAUUGAGCGUUGUGUGUGCUGUGUGCAAAAUGCUCUCAUGUUCGAAUCCAUAUAUUUAAUAUAAGUUGGCACUUUAAAACUUUAAAAAAAAAUGUUUAAAAAAAUGUAAUAUAUUUGUUUUCAUUGUGUUCAAGCACUAUAUACAACAACUAAAGUAUUACAUGUUGAAUUUGUGUUCACGUGCAGGGAUAAAAUCCCACAACGUAUUAACAGUCUCUUAUUGCACGUUUUUGUCUGGUGAAUUAUAAUAUUCGUACUGUUUUUGCAUUGAAGUGUUGUAUAAAUAAAUAAUACAUAUGAAUAAAAAUAUGAA